GGGAAUUUGGUGUAGUGGAAGCGUCAGCUAUCUUGAUUGCCAAAACAACGUUCGUUGUGCAGCUGAUACCCAGGUUCGAUUCCUGGAAUUCCCA
rnacentral:tRNA from 1 species